AACUCUCUCAGCCCUUCCUCACAGGAGAGUUCUAUCCCCUCUGAUCAUCUUCAUGACCCCUCUCUCGAUUCAGCACCCCAGAUUUGGCUCAACUGGUAACGGCUUUUAAAAAGCUGGCUCUUGGAAAUCUUUUGGAGCUUCAUAGGAAGGAAAGUAUUCGCUGACAAAGGCAGAGCUGAGAGUGUGAAGCGUCACAAAACACCAGGGAAACUUAAUUUUCUGACAGGAAAAGAAAAAGCUUCUCUCUAUUUUGUUUCUUAAACUCGUAGAGAUACUGGUCUUCCUGUAUUAAACACCAGCACCUGGUACUUCCAAGUUACAAUCUCAAAACAAUGUUCCUCUGAAGAACAAGAGGAUACCUCCUGAAAUUCACAGGAAGAAGGGAAGACUUGGUAACAGAAGCCUUUGAUGCUCCCUGCACUGACUUAAUGGAAAUAUACAAUUAUUUCAUGUCUGCAUACUGGCAAUAUUCGAUAACCUCCUGGGGUUUCGUGCAAAUUCAAACUACCAUGGAGAAGAAAACAGAAGUCUGAAAAACUCUGUACAAGACAGCUCAUGCAACAAAGAUGUCACUUCCCACAAUAUGGAAUUACCAAACCUACUGUUACUGACAGGAGCAACAGCAUUUGCACCCCUGAGCUGUGAGACUAACAAAUAAUAAACACGA